AAAACUUUAAGUUAAAUUAAAACUAUUAACCUUCAAAGUUAAAAUUAUAUUAUGUAUAAGUUUUA
rnacentral:tRNA from 1 species